ACAUUCAAUCUCGAGAUUUCGAAAUCUUAACAAAAGAUUUGAAAAGGUUAUAUUAAAACUUAAUUACAAAUUAUUUGGAUAAAAAGAAUAAGUGAUCAGGGCACUUAUCUUAAAAUUAUUAAGACAUUAAUUUAUUAUAUCCCUCAUUCAAAUUGCAUAAAACAAGCAUAAAGUGAAUAAAAUAACCAACGAGAUAACAGUGAAGCGAAAACUUGGUGCGCUCAAUCCUGAUUAUGCAUUACAUUCAAUAGUCAUUGAAGAAACUGAUUCUGAAAUUUUAAUUCUUACUCCCAUUAUCUAAUAUUCCUAAUAUUCUUUUCGUACAGUAUAUUCGAAGAAAAUUGCAGAGUUAACAUGAAUCGAACAACGAAAAGUCGCGACGACGCGGUCGAUUGCUUAUUAGUAGUUUUCUUACCUAAAAGUGCACACGUUGCCCAUCGUUGAUUCAAAUCGCUGCGUCGCAUUGGAGUGAUUUGGAGUGAAUUCGGCUAACAGUGGAGCGUCGCGAACAUACGAUGGAUUGGUCUCGAAUCGUCGCGACGCAUUUCAGCAUUUCAUCGCGGUAGGUCACAGUCGCAACGAACGAUUCAACUCCGGCAUACGCGUGUGACAAUCGUACGAUGACGAGCCUGCACAAGAUACUUUAUACCGUAUUUCGCGAAUUCACGGAAAUCUGUCACACGCGAAUGUCGCGCGAUUAACGGUUCGGAGCGACGCGCCGACGCAGUAGCCGCCGUAUUACCUAACCUACCUACGCAUUUCGAGCAUCGCUGAUCGCAACCGGCGGGCGACCGGCCGGUGGUCGGCGUAAGCAGCGGAAACUGCGAUCUCGUCGCGUAUAUUUCGGUACGUACAGCCACAAUGCGAGUUUUUGCGUGCGGUGUAGAGUGAAAUGAAUGUCUGUGUAAGAUGACGAUUAUCCUGAGACGUGCGCGUUAGUUGUUCGGUCGACGUGCGCCAGGCGACGAAAAGUUAACCUCCUCGCGAGUCCCCCCUUCGCCUCGCAACAAGUUUCGCGUGCCGUCAUCGACUUUGAGCGGAUUCCCUUUGUACAUACGUCCGAGUCUUGUGUGUAACAAUACAGUGAAACGAAUGAACAACGAUCGCUCCGAGACGCUCGCGUUCUCGCGAGACGGCGUGAAGGUCACCGUGCGAUUCAGGACCGUUCGCGUCGCUGCAGCGUUUCACGCCCCCUUUAUGUGCCGUCAUCAAUGUCAAGCGGACUUUUCUUCGUACAGCUGCAUCCAAGUUUUCAUAUAUAACGCACAGUGAGAUAAACAUUCCGCGGAAAUAACAAUCUGAGACGCAUUCGUAUCUGAAUCGUAACUGGAUCCUGACGCGAUCAUGUCUCUCUCUCUCUCUCUCUCUCUCUCUCGCUACGUUAUGACGUGACAAAAUCUGCUUCGACGAUUAGUCGGAAGUGCCAUCGACUAAAUGUCGCGCGUCGCUUUGAUAAUUAUUACGCGAUCGUAAAUAGUCUCUCGUUCGCGUGCGUUGUGUUAUCAGGAAUUAAAGAACGGACAUGAUAUUGAAAAACAAUCCUAAUUCUAUUCCAAAUUGUACAAAGCGUACACAUUUUGGUUUAAUUGAGCAAUCGUGAGCAACGUUAUACUUUGUGCGUUCUCGUGUACAUGUGAUCAAGAUGUGUUCAGCAAUUGGAAAGCGACCCCAUGCGUCAGUGUGGCGUUAAUACAUUCCGAGAGGAAGCGGAGGUCCAGGAGGCAACGACGGAACAACGCGUACACUGCCUACGGAAGUGACGGGUGCAUGUCUUACAUCGCGCGAUGUGGAGGUCUCCUCGGGGUCCGACGCGCGACGACGGGCGCCGGGCGCCGGGCGCCGGGCGCCGCGAUGCGUCAACCCGUACGACCGACGGGCGACGCGACGCUCGACCGGGGCCGGUCUCCUCCCGGACCUCGCGCCCGCGGCGAGAGCAUGGCGUGGCCCCAGAGAAUCCAGUGUUCGUACAAGAAAACAAGAUUCAGCAAGAGCGAUGGAAGUGAAAAGUUCGGGGCCGGGAGAUUAUUCGGCCGUGGCCGCGACGAAAAGGCACGAGGAUGGGCGCCGGCUUUAAAUCCCCAUCGUAAACACACGCGUCAGAGGCUCUCAACGUGGCUCGCAUCUGGGAUACCCGAGGGCUACGGAGGGCAGGUGGUAUUUCCAAAUAACAAUCCUCUGCUCUUUGUUAAUUUCAACAUUAGAGUUCGAGCAAAUCAUUUUCACUUUCAUCCAUUUCACUAAAAUUAAAUCAAAUAUCCACAUCUCGAUAUAGAAAUAAUGUAAAUUAGCGCAAAAUUAACUUGAGCGAAAAGUUUCUCGCUAUACAUUAGUAUGAUUUCUAUGUCUAAUAAUCGUCAGGCGAAAUUGCAAUUGUCUGAAAGAUGACAAAUAUUCAUGAUGGACGAGCUCGAGCGGGUAAAGUGGCUAAGACCCGAUGCAUGAGUUGAAUUCCAGAAGUGAGGACCAAUCAUGUUCAAUCGAUCGGCCUGAACUCGCCAAAUGUAAACCUCUACUUCUACGGAACGAGAAUUCGUACAAAACAAAGGUUUCAAACGCGAUUUAAUUUAGAAGCGGAGAAAAGCUGGCCAAACUCGCGGCUGUACGACGCCCGUCUAGAUUUAGAUCGUCAGGACGUGUUUAACUUAAUCUUCCCUCGUACAGCUUCUUUUAGCCCUUUCGCGGUCAACCACGCGGUACGGCGACGCGUAAACUGAACGAAUGAGAAGGAGAGAGAAAGAAAAAUAAAAAGAUGAAGAGGAAAAAAAGAAAGGCCAGAUGCCAGAAGCGUGAAAAAACAAAGACAAACAUUUCUUUUGCUUCUUUCAUAUAUAAUUCGGACUUGACUACAACCUCCGAGAAGUCGGUGUGGUAUAACUCUCCCUUUGAUAAAAGAGAAAAGCAAAAUUGGCAGGUUCACAAUAUACUUUCCAGUUUUUCAAUAGCGUAUAAUCAAAUAGCGUACUGUCAAAUGCAAGAUGAAAACAAGUCUUGCACAAUGAUGUGAUGACUUGAAAUGAAAAACCCAAACGUUCAAUCGACUAUUUUGAAUAAAAGUAUAUCUUUACGCAAGAUUAAAUUGCGCUUCACUUAUCGCAUCUGUAUUCUCACUUGCUCUUUUUUAUUCCCAUUUAUCAAUAAAAUAGAUACUAUUCAGUUUUUGCAUUCAUCCAAAAGUUUUUUGUAUAAAGAUAAGUGUAAACAAUGAAAAUAUAAUACAAUGACUAAUUGACAGCCUUAGAUACCUAGGACAUUGUGUGGGUGGGAAGCAGGAAAUGAAUUCAAAGCUCAUGUCACUUUAAAAACGCGUCUCUUUCAUUUAUUUAAUCAUUGUCAAAAUCGAAAUAACGUAUCACGUUUUAAUAAAAUAAAAAUAAUUUCCAUGUUUUUUUUCAGUAUUUUGGCUGAGUAAAAAAAUAGUUUUUUUUUCUUUUACUUCGAGAAUUCAAGAAUAUCCGUUUUCUUCAUCUCUCCGCGGAGAACAAUGUAUCUCUAUUGCUCGACGAUAUUAGAAAUGAGAAAUCCGGUAGCCCCGAAACCGCAGGCAGGCUGAUCUUCACGCUGAGCGUCCUCGUCGCCCACGCCAGGCCAGGCGAUUAUCUCCCAAUAUCUCAAUGCAGCAUGUAAAACGCCUAUCGCGUAUACUCGUGACGCGAUGUCCGGCACCGCUACCUUCCUCGUCGCUCCGCUUCCACUCUCUGCUCCCUCCUGCCGCGCUUCUUUCCUCCACCGUUUCUUUUUCACGAUAAGAAAAGGAGGAGUUUGCCUGCAUACCUCGAAGCUAUGCGGUACACAGAUGCAGGCAGAGCGCCGGAGAGAAACGAUGUACUUAUACGGACGCCGAUAGCCGAGAGAGAAAAAGGAGAGAGGUUUGAUGACCUUUUGUGCUGGGAGAGAUUAGGCGAAUUGUAGGGGCGCCAGUGCAGAUAGAUGCCAUAGGGAGCCAAUGUGGAAUAGCUUAAAGAGGAUAAAAGGCGAGUCGCGGUGGCGCCAUACUCGAGAAUUUGCACGGCAUACCUCUGGCGAGUUACAGCACAUAAAUGGACAAAGGUAACGAAAAAGGAGCGAAAAGAGAAGGUGUCGCGACGAGAGCUACUGGGCUACCUGAGAUACUUGACGUCAUAAAUCACUCGUUGAAACGCAUUUGGGCGCAAGGGACAGGAUACUCCAAAUCGACUUCUUGACUCCGAGUCCUUAAUAAUUGCCGAUGAUGAAUCGGCUGAGCCUAAACUUAACGAGCCUAACGACAAUGACAACAGCUGCUCCACGACUGAUCCCAUCGAAUUGACACUCGGAAAAAAAAAAUUAUGCGUCUUGUAUGAACGUGGAACUUGGCUUGAAGCAAAUAUUACGAAGAAAUAAAAUCGCAGCUUAAUUUAUUCUUCGAAAUUCCGAUAUCUUUCUGACGUUUUUUGCCUAGAUAAGGGAUGAAAAGAGGAAACACAUUGCGACGAAAGGAGAAAGUGCAAUGGAGGACGGCGAAUGGGAAAGAGAACGCGCGAAAGAAUUAUCUAUAUAUUUUCUUUCAUGUCGUGCGUGCACCGUGCGAAGCAGUUAAGCAAAGGUCACAAGUUGAGCAAUCUGUCCGUUUAUCGGUGCAAACAACGUUUGCAGCGUGAGUGCGUGAUGCGACAGACGGCGAAGAAGAGGUUGAUGAAUCUUCCACGCCGGGGCGGCUGUCUCGAUGAAACUCCAGUUCAUCUUUCCUGUAUCAAGAUCCAUGAGUGAAGAUGAGAGAGAAAGAGAGAUCUCCCUCUUUCAGAGCGAUCAAAACUUCCGGGAAUAAUUGGAUAAAUGUAAAAAGAGAUGAAAACGUCCGCCGGGGACUGGACUCGAGUAAGUGCGGUAGCCACGGUGAGGGAGUAAGGAACGUGUUGUGGGGCACGGCAGGAGAACAGAGGUAGGAGGAGGAGGAGAAGGAAGAGGAGGUGGAGGAGGAAGAGGAGGAGGAGGAA